rnacentral:rRNA from 1 species
GAUGAACGCUGGCGGCGUGCCUAAUACAUGCAAGUCGAGCGAACAGACGAGGAGCUUGCUCCUCUGACGUUAGCGGCGGACGGGUGAGUAACACGUGGAUAACCUACCUAUAAGACUGGGAUAACUUCGGGAAACCGGAGCUAAUACCGGAUAAUAUAUUGAACCGCAUGGUUCAAUAGUGAAAGACGGUUUUGCUGUCACUUAUAGAUGGAUCCGCGCCGCAUUAGCUAGUUGGUAAGGUAACGGCUUACCAAGGCGACGAUGCGUAGCCGACCUGAGAGGGGGUCCGGCAAACCGGAACCUGGGACCGGGCCCAACCCCCUAGGGGGGGAAGAGGUGGGAAUCCUCCGGAAAGGGGCGAAGGCUGACCGAGGAAACGCGGGGGAGGUAUGAAGGGUCUCCGAUUCGUAAACCCCUGUUAUUGGGAAGAAACAAAGGUGAAGGUAACGAUGCCCGUCUGGACGGUACCAAUCAGAAAGCCACGGCUAACUACGUG